UACGUAGGGGGCAAGCGUUGUCCGGAUUUAUUGGGCGUAAAGAGCGUGUAGGCGGCUUGGUAGGUCCGCUGUGAAAACUCGAGGCUCAACCUCGAGAUGUCGGCGGAAACCACUUGGCUAGAGUCCGGAAGAGGAGAGUGGAAUUCCUGGUGUAGCGGUGAAAUGCGCAGAUAUCAGGAAGAACACCUAUGGCGAAGGCAGCUCUCUGGGCCGUUCCUGACACUAAAGCGCGAGAGCUAGGGGAGCAAACAGG
rnacentral:rRNA from 1 species